GAAAGGUGGUUUCGCGGGGUUCCCUGUGGUGUGCCCCUCUGAGAGUUUGAUUUGGAUACCAGUGACUAAACAAAAAUGUACAAUACAUAACAGUAACAUAACAACAAAAGUAUAUACAAAUAACAAUUCUGCCUGAGGUAUGGCUGGGCACUGCGUCAUCGUGCCUUGGGGGUGAAGCUAAGCUUCUCGGUCUGGUACAUCGCCCUGUCCGUGG